rnacentral:rRNA from 1 species
AGAGUUUGAUCAUGGCUCAGGAUGAACGCUGGCGGCGUGCUUAACACAUGCAAGUCGAACGAUGACCCGGUGCUUGCACCGGUGAUUAGUGGCGAACGGGUGAGUAACACGUGAGUAACCUGCCCUUAACUCUGGGAUAAGCCUGGGAAACUGGGUCUAAUACCGGAUAUGACUCCUCAUCGCAUGGUGGGGGGUGGAAAGCUUUAUUGUGGUUUUGGAUGGACUCGCGGCCUAUCAGCUUGUUGGUGAGGUAAUGGCUCACCAAGGCGACGACGGGUAGCCGGCCUGAGAGGGUGACCGGCCACACUGGGACUGAGACACGGCCCAGACUCCUACGGGAGGCAGCAGUGGGGAAUAUUGCACAAUGGGCGAAAGCCUGAUGCAGCGACGCCGCGUGAGGGAUGACGGCCUUCGGGUUGUAAACCUCUUUCAGUAGGGAAGAAGCGAAAGUGACGGUACCUGCAGAAGAAGCGCCGGCUAACUACGUGCCAGCAGCCGCGGUAAUACGUAGGGCGCAAGCGUUAUCCGGAAUUAUUGGGCGUAAAGAGCUCGUAGGCGGUUUGUCGCGUCUGCCGUGAAAGUCCGGGGCUCAACUCCGGAUCUGCGGUGGGUACGGGCAGACUAGAGUGAUGUAGGGGAGACUGGAAUUCCUGGUGUAGCGGUGAAAUGCGCAGAUAUCAGGAGGAACACCGAUGGCGAAGGCAGGUCUCUGGGCAUUAACUGACGCUGAGGAGCGAAAGCAUGGGGAGCGAACAGGAUUAGAUACCCUGGUAGUCCAUGCCGUAAACGUUGGGCACUAGGUGUGGGGGACAUUCCACGUUUUCCGCGCCGUAGCUAACGCAUUAAGUGCCCCGCCU